rnacentral:tRNA from 1 species
UACCAAAUGGCUCAGAGGUUAAAGUGUCUGCCUGCAAUGUAGGAGACCUGGGUUUGAUCCCUGGGUUGGGAA